UGCAGUCGACGAUGAAGGAGGAGCUUGCUCCUCCGGAUUAGUGGCGAACGGGUGAGUAAUACGUGAGCAAUGUGCCCUUGACUCUGGGAUAAGCGCUGGAAACGGCGUCUAAUACCGGAUACGACCCUCGGAGGCAUCUCCUGAUGGUGGAAAGAACUUCGGUCAAGGAUCAGCUCACGGCCUAUCAGCUAGUUGGUGAGGUAACGGCUCACCAAGGCGACGACGGGUAGCCGGCCUGAGAGGGUGACCGGCCACACUGGGACUGAGACACGGCCCAGACUCCUACGGGAGGCAGCAGUGGGGAAUAUUGCACAAUGGGCGCAAGCCUGAUGCAGCAACGCCGCGUGAGGGACGAAGGCCUUCGGGUUGUAAACCUCUUUUAGCAGGGAAGAAGCGAAAGUGACGGUACCUGCAGAAAAAGCACCGGCUAACUACGUGCCAGCAGCCGCGGUAAUACGUAGGGUGCAAGCGUUGUCCGGAAUUAUUGGGCGUAAAGAGCUCGUAGGCGGUUUGUCGCGUCUGCUGUGAAAACCCGAGGCUCAACCUCGGGCUUGCAGUGGGUACGGGCAGACUAGAGUGCGGUAGGGGAGAUUGGAAUUCCUGGUGUAGCGGUGGAAUGCGCAGAUAUCAGGAGGAACACCGAUGGCGAAGGCAGAUCUC
rnacentral:rRNA from 1 species